rnacentral:rRNA from 1 species
CUAAGAAUAUUCCGCAAUGGGGGAAACCCUGACGGAGCGACGCCGCGUGGACGAGGAAGGCCGGAAGGUUGUAAAGUCCUUUUGAACCGGAAGAAUAAGCAGUGCAGGGAAUGGCAGUGUGGUGACGGUACGGUUUGAAUAAGAGGCGGCUAAUUACGUGCCAGCAGCCGCGGUAACACGUAAGCCUCGAGCGUUGUUCGGAAUUAUUGGGCGUAAAGGGCAUGUAGGCGGUAAUCUAAGCUUGGUGUGAAAGGCAGGGGCUUAACUCCUGGACAGCAUUGAGAACUGGAUUGCUAGAGUUACUGAAGUGAAAUCAGAAUUCCAGGUGUAG